rnacentral:rRNA from 1 species
UACGUAGGGUGCGAGCGUUGUCCGGAAUUAUUGGGCGUAAAGAGCUCGUAGGCGGUUUGUCGCGUCUAUCGUGAAAACCUGGGGCUUAACUCCGGGCUUGCGGUGGAUACGGGCAGACUUGAGUUCGGUAGGGGAGACUGGAAUUCCUGGUGUAGCGGUGAAAUGCGCAGAUAUCAGGAAGAACACCCGUGGCGAAAGCGGCUCUCUGGAACGGUACUGACGCUGAGACGCGAAAGCGUGGGGAGCGAACAGG